AACUAGUAAUCGCCAGGACAGAAGCGGGGGACCCACCUUCCUUCCGCCGGAUGUCGCCACCGCGGCGCCGUCCUUGGGGUGAAGUCGGCUGCGCGUUCCCGCGCGCCGACCGGGCUUCCCGGCCCGAACCCGACAGCUAACCUCGCAGGCGUAUGGGAAGGAUCA
rnacentral:sRNA from 2 species